UUCCGGUUGAUCCUGCCGGACCCCACUGCUAUCGGGAUAGGACUAAGACAUGCUAGUCACGCCAGCCAAAGCAAGCGUACAGCUCAGUAACACGUGGCUAACCUGCCCUUGGGACAAGGACACCCCCGGGAAACUGGGGCUAAUCCUUGAUAGGUGAAGAAUUCUGGAAUGAAUCUUCGCCCAAAGAACUUACCGCCCAAGGAUGGGGCCGCGACCGAUCAGGUAGUUGGUGAGGCAACGGCUCACCAAGCCUUUUACCGGUACGGGCCGUGGGAGCGGGUGCCCGGAGAUGGGAACUGAGACAAGGUCCCAGGCCCUACGGGGCGCAGCCGUUGCGAAACCUCGUCAAUGCACGAAAGUGUGAACGGGCUACCCCGAGUGCUGUCCGCUGAGGAUGGCUUUUCUCUGCUGUAAGGAGGCGGAGGAAUAAGGAGAGGGCAAGUUCUGGUGUCAGCCGCCGCGGUAAUACCAGCCCUCCGAGUGGUGGGGAUGUUUAUUGGGCCUAAAGCGUCCGUAGCCUGCCCUUCAAGUCUUUCGUUAAAUCCAGCGAUUCAAUCGUUGGACUGCGGGAGAUACUGUUGGGCUAGGGGGCGGGAGAAGCCGACGGUAUUUCCGGGGUAGGGGUAAAAUCCUAUAAUCCCGGGAGGACCACCAGUGGCGUAGGCGGUCGGCUAGCACGUGCUCGACGGUGAGGGACGAAAGCUGGGGGAGCAAACCGGAUUAGAUACCCGGAUAGUCCCAGCUGUAAACGAUGCGGGCUAGGUGUUGGGGUGGCCACGAGCCACUUCAGUGCCGCAGGGGAGCCAUUAAGCCCGCCGCCUGGGGAGUACGGCCGCAAGGCUGAAACUUAAAGGAAUUGGCGGGGGAGCACCACAAGGGGUGAAGCUUGCGGUUCAAUUGGAUUCAACGCCGGA
rnacentral:rRNA from 1 species